CCUACGGGAGGCAGCAGUGAGGAAUAUUGGUCAAUGGACUUACGCCUGAACCAGCCAAGUCGCGUGAGGGAAGACUGCCCUAUGGGUUGUAAACCUCUUUUGUCAGGGAGCAACACCGGCUACGUGUAGCCUGCCUGAGAGUCCCUGAAGAAAAAGCAUCGGCUAACUCCGUGCCAGCAGCCGCGUUAAUACGGGGGAUGCGAGCGUUAUCCGGCUUUAUUGGGUUUAAGGGGUGCGUAGGCGGAAUGCCAAGUCAGCGGUAAAAUCGCGGGGCUCAACCUCGCUCCGCCGUUGAAACUGGCGGUCUUGAGUGGGCGAGAAGUAGGCGGAAUGCGUGGUGUAGCGGUGAAAUGCAUAGAUAUCACGCAGAACUCCGAUUGCGAAGGCAGCAUACCGGAGUGCAACUGACGCUGAAGCACGAAAGCGUGGGUAUCGAACAGGAUUAGAUACCCGGGUAGUC
rnacentral:rRNA from 1 species